rnacentral:rRNA from 1 species
UACGUAGGGCGCAAGCGUUGUCCGGAAUUAUUGGGCGUAAAGAGCUCGUAGGCGGUUUGUCGCGUCUGCUGUGAAAACCUAAGGCUCAACCUUGGGCUUGCAGUGGGUACGGGCAGACUAGAGUGCGGUAGGGGUGACUGGAAUUCCUGGUGUAGCGGUGGAAUGCGCAGAUAUCAGGAGGAACACCGAUGGCGAAGGCAGGUCACUGGGCCGCAACUGACGCUGGAGGAAGCGAAAGCCAUGGGAGCGAACAGG